ensembl:lncRNA
GUCCGUGCAGCACCUCCGCCCCCAAGCAGAAACCUCGCAAACAGACAGAGAAGACUGAGGAGGUGGAGAUCACACUGGUGUGACAGUCAGACAGACAGAUGGAGAAGACUGAAGAGGUGGAGAUCACACUGGUGUGACAGACAGACAGACAGAUGGAGAAGACUGAAGAGGUGGAGAUCACACUGAUGUGACAGACAGAUGGAGAAGACUGAGGAGGUGGAGAUCACACUGGUGUGACAGACAGAUGGAGAAGACUGAGGAGGUGGAGAUCACACUGAUGUGACAGACAGACGGAGAAGACUGAGGAGGUGGAGAUCACACUGGUGUGACAGACAGAUGGAGAAGACUGAGGAGGUGGAGAUCACACUGGUGUGACAGACAGACAGAGAAGACUGAGGAGGUGGAGAUCACACUAGUGUGACAGACAGACAGAGAAGACUGAGGAGGUGGAGAUCACACUAGUGUGACAGACAGACAGACAGAGAAGACUGAGGAGGUGGAGAUCACACUGGUGUGACAGACAGACAAGACUGGGGAGGUGGAGAUCACACUGGUGUGACAGACAGACAGACAGACAGAGAAGACUGAGGAGGUGGAGAUCACACUGGUGUGACAGAUAGACAGAGAAGACUGAGGAGGUGGAGAUCACACUGGUGUGACAGACAGACAGACAGAGAAGACUGAGGAGGUGGAGAUCACACUGGUGUGACAGAUAGACAGACAGAGAAGACUGAGGAGGUGGAGAUCACACUGGUGUGACAGACAGACAGAGGGACAGCAGAGCACAGACCUGGAUGACUGAACUUUGAACUGGGCUUCACCUCUAAGCUUUGAACCCUGG